rnacentral:sRNA from 1 species
GUUUAGCCCCGAUUGAAACGGCAUCCUUUUUUGUGAAGCUAUUGAGAGACAAACCUAACGACAAUUAAGCAUUACCUAACUAUGUUAAGCUCUCAAAACAAGUUCGAGACUGCUUCACAGAAAAGAUAUAGUGGAAAGCGGGAAAUAGC